UUCUCCUACUCCACUGGUCCCUUUAGGGCUUUAGGUUUCUCCGUUCGACUCCUCUACCCCUCUCUUCUCCGAUCUCUCCGCGACGCCCUUCUCGUGUGUCUGUCCUCGUCUUCCGAAGUCUCCCGGCGGCGACGGCGGCGAAGGAGGAUAGAAGACACCGGCCCGGACGCCUGCCCAGAUCGCCCGUCCUGGUGCACCAGCGUCGGAUCGCCGGAGCCACUCCGUACCUCGAUACGCGGCCGAGGGCAUCCGACUUCCUUGCCGCCGGCCGUCCCCCUUCCGCUUCCGCUGUCUGACUCACCACUUCUUUUUUUUUUUUGUCUGCAUUUCUCUCUCCUACUGCGGCGGCUGACGGAGCGAGCCAUACAGGGGCAAGACAGAGAGGCGGAGAGAGAGGAACGACCUCGACUUGUCGGAUGGCGUUGAGGCGGGCGCUGGGGUGGUCGGAUGGCGAGCUGAUGCGGUCGGACGCGAAACCCUGCUCCCGGCUAAUGCACCAAACCGCCGGCAUCUUCAGCGUCGGCGGCGCCCUGAGUUUCUGGAUCCUCUGUCGCCUCCACUAUGGCCCAAGAAUAACAAUUCCGAGAAGUCUCAGGUGGGCUUCAUGUGGAGCAAUAUCAGCAAGCUCAACGUCGGCCCUGCUGGUCUGCUUCUUUAGUCCAGAGUGUGAACCUCAAAACAUAGCUGCUUAUGACAAACCCAAAUGAGAUUGUUCUUUGCUUUCAUAACUGCAAUGCUUUUUAUAUUCGAUUCAGCAGCGUACUGUCAAAACACUUGAGAAAUUCUCAUCAAAAAUUUCUCAUCAAAAGCUGCUAGUUGGAUUGUAUCUUGUGCUUUGGCAGAAAUUACUCUUGGAAGAAUUAUUUCUCAACAAGUUGUUGGGAGAUCAUGGCCAAAUGAACUUGUAUAUUGUUCUAUGAAGCUGUUUUUCUGUGUGUUUAGUGGCAAGGCCGGUAAGAAAACCUUCAUGGUCUUCUUAAUAUAAGUUUUUUUUUCUUGUAACAUAUAUCAAAAGGCAGUUUCUACUUUGCUUGGAAGUGCUACAUAGUGAUGUCUUAUCAUCCACAAGGUUGUUGCGUUUUGUGAUAACCAAGAUGAUGCUUGUUGUUAGGUGAUCGUACCAAUUUGAUGGUUGUAUAAUUUUGAAAUGUUCUUAUGAAGACCAACAUUUUU